CAGAAUGGACCACUAUGAAGGGCGCGGCUCUCUACGACCGGGUAGAACAUGCCAUUCGUAAUGAGGGUGUCGGGGGUUCGAAUCCCUCUUGCGGCACCA
rnacentral:tRNA from 1 species